rnacentral:rRNA from 1 species
UACGUAGGGUGCAAGCGUUGUCCGGAAUUAUUGGGCGUAAAGAGCUCGUAGGCGGUCUGUCGCGUCGGAUGUGAAAACUCGGGGGCUCAACCCCGAGCCUGCAUUCGAUACGGGCAGACUAGAGUUCGGUAGGGGAGACUGGAAUUCCUGGUGUAGCGGUGAAAUGCGCAGAUAUCGGGAGGAACACCAGUGGCGAAGGCGACUUUCUGGCCUGUUCUUGACGCUGAGGCGCGAAAGCUAGGGGAGCAAACGGGG